UGGUGGGUAGUUUGACUGGGGCGGUCUCCUCCUAAAGAGUAACGGAGGAGCACGAAGGUUGGCUAAUCCUGGUCGGACAUCAGGAGGUUAGUGCAAUGGCAUAAGCCAGCUUGACUGCGAGCGUGACGGCGCGAGCAGGUGCGAAAGCAGGUCAUAGUGAUCCGGUGGUUCUGAAUGGAAGGGCCAUCGCUCAACGGAUAAAAGGUACUCCGGGGAUAACAGGCUGAUACCGCCCAAGAGUUCAUAUCGACGGCGGUGUUUGGCACCUCGAUGUCGGCUCAUCACAUCCUGGGGCUGAAGUAGGUCCCAAGGGUAUGGCUGUUCGCCAUUUAAAGUGGUACGCGAGCUGGGUUUAGAACGUCGUGAGACAGUUCGGUCCCUAUCUGCCGUGGGCGCUGGAGAACUGAGGGGGGCUGCUCCUAGUACGAGAGGACCGGAGUGGACGCAUCACUGGUGUUCGGGUUGUCAUGCCAAUGGCACUGCCCGGUAGCUAAAUGCGGAAGAGAUAAGUGCUGAAAGCAUCUAAGCACGAAACUUGCCCCGAGAUGAGUUCUCCCUGAGACUUUAGGUCUCCUGAAGGAACGUUGAAGACGACGACGUUGAUAGGCCGGGUGUGUAAGCGCAGCGAUGCGUUGAGCUAACCGGUACUAAUGAACCGUG
rnacentral:rRNA from 1 species